GACGUAGGGCGCGAGCGUUGUCCGGAUUUAUUGGGCGUAAAGAGCUCGUAGGCGGCUUGUUGCGUCGACCGUGAAAACCCGGGGCUCAACUUCGGGCUUGCGGUCGAUACGGGCGGGCUAGAGUUCGGUAGGGGAGACUGGAAUUCCUGGUGUAGCGGUGAAAUGCGCAGAUAUCAGGAGGAACACCGGUGGCGAAGGCGGCGACCUGGUCCUUUUACUGACGCUGAGGCGCGAAAGCGUGGGGAGCAAACAGG
rnacentral:rRNA from 1 species